rnacentral:rRNA from 1 species
UACGAAGGGGGGCUAGCGUUGCUCGGAAUCACUGGGCGUAAAGCGCACGUAGGCGGACUCUUAAGUCGGUGGUGAAAUCCUGGAGCUCAACUCCAGAACUGCCUCCGAUACUGGGAGCCUUCGAGUCCGGGAGAGGUGAGUGGAACUGCGAGUGUAGAGGUGAAAUUCGUAGAUAUUCGCAAGAACACCAGUGGCGAAGGCGGCUCACUGGCCCGGUACUGACGCUGAGGUGCGAAAGCGUGGGGAGCAAACAGG